rnacentral:rRNA from 1 species
CACGUAGGGUGCGAGCGUUGUCCGGAAUUAUUGGGCGUAAAGAGCUCGUAGGCGGUGUGUCGCGUCGGCCGUGAAAACUUGGGGCUUAACUCUGAGCUUGCGGUCGAUACGGGCAUCACUGGAGUUCGGCAGGGGAGACUGGAAUUCCUGGUGUAGCGGUGAAAUGCGCAGAUAUCAGGAGGAACACCGAUGGCGAAGGCAGGUCUCUGGGCAUUAACUGACGCUGAGGAGCGAAAGCAUGGGGAGCGAACAGG